rnacentral:rRNA from 1 species
UACGGGGGGAGCAAACGUUGUUCGGAAUUACUGGGCGUAAAGGGCGCGUAGGCGGCCUUCUAAGUCGAACGUGAAAUCCCCGGGCUCAACCCGGGAACUGCGUCCGAGACUGAAAGGCUUGAAUCCGGGAGAGGGAUGUGGAAUUCCCGGUGUAGAGGUGAAAUUCGUAGAUAUCGGGAGGAACACCAGUGGCGAAGGCGGAGACCUGGGCCAAUACUGACGCUGAGGUGCGAAAGCGUGGGGAGCAAACGGG